UAUCGGAUUGAUACUAAGCCAUGCGAGUCAUUGUAGCAAUACAAGGCAUACGGCUCAGUAACGCGUAGUCAACCUAACCUAUGGACGGGAAUAACCUCGGGAAACUGAGAAUAAUGCCCGAUAGAACAUUAUGCCUGGAAUGGUUUAUGUUCCAAAUGAUUUAUCGCCGUAGGAUGGGACUGCGGCCUAUCAGUUUGUUGGUGAGGUAAUGGCCCACCAAGACUAUUACAGGUACGGGCUCUGAGAGGAGUAGCCCGGAGAUGGGUACUGAGACACGGACCCAGGCCCUAUGGGGCGCAGCAGGCGAGAAAACUUUGCAAUGUGCGAAAGCACGACAAGGUUAAUCCGAGUGGUUUCUGCUAAAGGAACCUUUUGUCAGUCCUAGAAACACUGAUGAAUAAGGGGUGGGCAAGUUCUGGUGUCAGCCGCCGCGGUAAAACCAGCACCUCAAGUGGUCAGGAUGAUUAUUGGGCCUAAAGCAUCCGUAGCCGGCUCUGUAAGUUUUCGGUUAAAUCUGUACGCUCAACGUACAGGCUGCCGGGAAUACUGCAAAGCUAGGGAGUGGGAGAGGUAGACGGUACUCGGUAGGAAGGGGUAAAAUCCUUUGAUCUAUUGAUGACCACCUGUGGCGAAGGCGGUCUACCAGAACACGUCCGACGGUGAGGGAUGAAAGCUGGGGUAGCAAACCGGAUUAGAUACCCGGGUAGUCCCAGCUGUAAACCAUGCAAACUCAGUGAUGCAUUGGCUUGUGGCCAAUGCAGUGCUGCAGGGAAGCCGUUAAGUUUGCCGCCUGGGAAGUACGUACGCAAGUAUGAAACUUAAAGGAAUUGGCGGGGGAGCACCACAAGGGGUGAAGCCUGCGGUUCAAUUGGAGUC
rnacentral:rRNA from 1 species